GCCGACGGGUACCAAGAAUGGAGAUGAAUGGUUUGGGCCAUCAAUGGAAGACCGUCACUGGAAUACGGGAAAUCGUCAGGGGUUGGUUUGUCAGUGAAUGAAGGACCUAAGAUGAAUCGAGAAGGGUCCGAUGAGACGAACUGUCUAAGCAUGGUGUAAUCCAAAGACGAAGAAGAGGAAAAGACGGAAGCGGCGCCAUUGCUAAAACUAAAGAAAAAAGUGAAGAAAAAACUCUAAGGAUCGAAAAAGGGAAAGAAGUAGACCAGGCUUUAGAUCAGAGAUGGAGAAGAGGUCAGAGAAAAGAAGGAAAAGAAAAGAGAAGGCGAAGAAGACGAUGCUUGAGUUAAAAAGCAAAUGGAGAGGAGGAAGCAUGGCGAAGAAGAAAGAAGCCGUCGAGUCGAAUCGAUUUCUGAGACAGGCUAUAAUGAUGAAGAGACAGCAGCAAUUAAGAUGACAUAAUUAAUGCCGCACAAAAGACAAAAAGAGAUGGUGAGAUCGUGGCCGUAGAAAAGAAAAGGACGGCUAGCAUGGCGAAGAAGAAAGAAGCCGUCGAGUCGAAUCGAUUUCUGAGACCGGCUAUAAUGAUGAAGAGACGGCAGCAAUUAAGAUUACAUAAUUAAUGCCGCACAAAAGACAAAAAGAGAUGGUGAGAUUGUGGCCGUAGAAAAGAAAAGGACGGCUAGGGAGGUACCGUACAAAGAAUUUGAAACUGAUUGUAUCGGGAGACGCCGCUCUGAUUA
rnacentral:lncRNA from 1 species